UACAGAGGGGGCAAGCGUUAUUCGGAAUUAUUGGGCGUAAAGGGCGCGUAGGCGGCCUGGCAAGUGGAUGGUGAAAUCCCUCGGCUUAACCGAGGAACUGCCAUCCAGACUGCUUGGCUUGAGACCGGGAGAGGUGAGUGGAAUUCCCAGUGUAGCGGUGAAAUGCGUAGAGAUGUGGAGGAACACCAGUGGCGAAGGCGACUCUUUGGCCUGUAACUGACGCUGAGGCGCGAAAGCGUGGGGAGCAAACAGG
rnacentral:rRNA from 1 species